UUUGUAAUGGGUUGGAAGCAUUCAACAGCCAACUCGUUGCGCAAUUGGCAUUGUCUGACUCCUGGGUACAGAAUUCGCGGUGUGUGACGCUUGGUUGUUAUAUGAAUCUUCUACCACGCUACAUUACAUAUCUAAAAAAGACAGGAC
rnacentral:lncRNA from 1 species